rnacentral:rRNA from 1 species
AGUCGACGGUGAAGCCAGCUUGCUUGGUGGAUCAGUGGCGAACGGGUGAGUAACACGUGAGCAACCUGCCCUGAACUCUGGGAUAAGCGCUGGAAACGGCGUCUAAUACUGGAUAUGAGCUGCGGAGGCAUCUUCGUGGUUGGAAAGAUUUUUCGGUUUGGGAUGGGCUCGCGGCCUAUCAGCUUGUUGGUGAGGUAAUGGCUCACCAAGGCGUCGACGGGUAGCCGGCCUGAGAGGGUGACCGGCCACACUGGGACUGAGACACGGCCCAGACUCCUACGGGAGGCAGCAGUGGGGAAUAUUGCACAAUGGGCGGAAGCCUGAUGCAGCAACGCCGCGUGAGGGAUGACGGCCUUCGGGUUGUAAACCUCUUUUAGCAGGGAAGAAGCGAAAGUGACGGUACCUGCAGAAAAAGCGCCGGCUAACUACGUGCCAGCAGCCGCGGUAAUACGUAGGGCGCAAGCGUUAUCCGGAAUUAUUGGGCGUAAAGAGCUCGUAGGCGGUUUGUCGCGUCUGCUGUGAAAACCCGAGGCUCAACCUCGGGCCUGCAGUGGGUACGGGCAGACUAGAGUGCGGUAGGGGAGAUUGGAAUUCCUGGUGUAGCGGUGGAAUGCGCAGAUAUCAGGAGGAACACCGAUGGCGAAGGCAGAUCUCUGGGCCGUAACUGACGCUGAGGAGCGAAAGGGUGGGGAGCAAACAGGCUUAGAUACCCUGGUAGUCCACCCCGUAAACGUUGGGAACUAGUUGUGGGGUCCAUUCCACGGAUUCCGUGACGCAGCUAACGCAUUAAGUUCCCCGCCUGGGGAGUACGGCCGCAAGGCUAAAACUCAAAGGAAUUGACGGGGACCCGCACAAGCGGCGGAGCAUGCGGAUUAAUUCGAUGCAACGCGAAGAACCUUACCAAGGCUUGACAUACACGAGAACGCUGCAGAAAUGUAGAACUCUUUGGACACUCGUGAACAGGUGGUGCAUGGUUGUCGUCAGCUCGUGUCGUGAGAUGUUGGGUUAAGUCCCGCAACGAGCGCAACCCUCGUUCUAUGUUGCCAGCACGUAAUGGUGGGAACUCAUGGGAUACUGCCGGGGUCAACUCGGAGGAAGGUGGGGAUGACGUCAAAUCAUCAUGCCCCUUAUGUCUUGGGCUUCACGCAUGCUACAAUGGCCGGUACAAAGGGCUGCAAUACCGCGAGGUGGAGCGAAUCCCAAAAAGCCGGUCCCAGUUCGGAUUGAGGUCUGCAACUCGACCUCAUGAAGUCGGAGUCGCUAGUAAUCGCAGAUCAGCAACGCUGCGGUGAAUACGUUCCCGGGUCUUGUACA